rnacentral:rRNA from 1 species
UACGGAGGGUGCGAGCGUUAAUCGGAGUUACUGGGCGUAAAGCGCACGCAGGCGGUUUGUUAAGCUAGAUGUGAAAGCCCCGGGCUCAACCUGGGAUGGUCAUUUAGAACUGGCAGACUAGAGUCUUGGAGAGGGGAGUGGAAUUCCAGGUGUAGCGGUGAAAUGCGUAGAUAUCUGGAGGAACAUCAGUGGCGAAGGCGACUCCCUGGCCAAAGACUGACGCUCAUGUGCGAAAGUGUGGGUAGCGAACAGG